GAUGAACGCUGGCGGCGUGCCUAACACAUGCAAGUCGAGCGAACAGACGAGGAGCUUGCUCCUCUGACGUUAGCGGCGGACGGGUCAGUAACACGUGGAUAACCUACCUAUAAGACUGGGAUAACUUCGGGAAACCGGAGCUAAUACCGGAUAAUAUAUUGAACCGCAUGGUUCAAUAGUGAAAGACGGUUUUGCUGUCACUUAUAGAUGGAUCCGCGCCGCAUUAGCUAGUUGGUAAGGUAACGGCUUACCAAGGCAACGAUGCGUAGCCGACCUGAGAGGGUGAUCGGCCACACUGGAACUGAGACACGGUCCAGACUCCUACGGGAGGCAGCAGUAGGGAAUCUUCCGCAAUGGGCGAAAGCCUGACGGAGCAACGCCGCGUGAGUGAUGAAGGUCUUCGGAUCGUAAAACUCUGUUAUUAGGGAAGAACAAAUGUGUAAGUAACUAUGCACGUCUUGACGGUACCUAAUCAGAAAGCCACGGCUAACUACGUG
rnacentral:rRNA from 1 species